rnacentral:rRNA from 1 species
UACGUAGGGUGCAAGCGUUAAUCGGAAUUACUGGGCGUAAAGCGUGCGCAGGCGGUUUUGUAAGCCAGAUGUGAAAUCCCCGGGCUUAACCUGGGAAUGGCAUUUGGGACUGCAAAGCUGGAGUGCGGCAGAGGGGACUGGAAUUCCUGGUGUAGCAGUGAAAUGCGUAGAGAUCAGGAGGAAUACCGAUGGCGAAGGCAGGUCCCUGGGCUGACACUGACGCUCAUGCACGAAAGCGUGGGGAGCAAACAGG